rfam:Triticum aestivum genome assembly, contig: Triticum_aestivum_CS42_TGACv1_scaffold_486123_6AS
CACAUACUCCCUCCGUUCCGUAUUACUUGUCGUAGGUAUGGAUGUAUCUAGAUGUAUUUUAGUUCUAGAUACAUCCAUUUCUGCGACGAGUAAUUUGGAACGGAGGGAGUACAUU